AUUGGAGGCGGAAACAGCCACGAAAAGCGGUGGAAGUAGCCUCUGGCCUUUCUGAGCCGUCUGGGAUCCUUUGGGUGCUUCUCAUAAGCUGGAGGCUGUCCAACCUCUGUGCUUCAAUAAAGACCAACUAGACCAACUAGUACUUAAAAACAUGGCAAAUAAUUUGGCAUAAUGUGCAUCAGAAAUGCUUCUACCACGUGCAACACAGAAUUACAAGGAGAAGAAAGACAUCAGAGCAUGAUGUCUCCCUCUAUAUGGAAAAGGCCAUGUAGUGACACAGUGAGAAGGUGGCCAUCUACAAACCAGGAAGAGAGGCCUUGCUACAAAGCACCCCACUCAACACCUUGAUUUUGGACCUCUGGACUAUGGAACUGUGAGAAAAUAAAUUUACACUGGUUAAGUCACCCAGUCUAUGCUAUUUUGUUAUGGCAGCCCAAGUGAACUAAUACAGAGAGACAGACUCUUAAAAACAUUAAAUGCUAUCUUAAAUACGGGCAUGCCUCAGAAAUAUUGCAGAUUCAGUUCCAGAU